rnacentral:tRNA from 1 species
CAGAGAAUAGUUUAAUUAGAAUAUCAACUUUGGGAGUUGGAGGUAGAGGUUUGAGUCCUUUUUCUCUGA